UGCGCCUACAUAAAUAUAUAUAUAUACAUAACCAUACAUAUAUGUAUAUUAAUGAAAUAAAUAUUUAUUUUUUAAUUAAAUGAAAUAACUAUUUAUUUUUAUAAACGUCACUUCGGUUGCACUGAAGCUAUAAUAUCCUUCAGAAAUAAACAUUUCUUUCAAAUAAAAUAGUUUUCCACACAAGAACUUGAUUUUGAUAGAUCACGCUGUCUUGUACAAUAAUCUAUGCCAAAAUUCCUGAAGAUAUAUUGUCAAAUAAAAAUGUUUUCCAUACAACAACUUCA